AAUCAGCAAAACAAUUUUUAUUAAUCAACAACCAUGCCCAUUUUUCUCCCUCUUCCUGGAAGUACAUAGAAGCUGAUGCCAUGGUAAAAAGCUCUACCUUACACAUCACUGGAGCAAGGGUGAUUUCUCCCUCUUUGUAAUUUUGCUUGGCUUCCUGGAGAGAUAGCACUUAAGAAAGAAAUCCCUCUCAGGUAUAUGAAUAGACUUGGCUCCACUUCCCCGAGCCAAGUAUAGAAGAAGGCUCUGACUAUUCUGGUUGCUGUCCUUGCCCUUGGGACAAUUGCCAUUCUAUUUUAACCCCCGUCCUUUCAAGUGCUUUGGAAUUUAAGAGGACUACACAGUCCCUUGGUGUAUUGAAAACUGCACAUACUCUACCCUCCCCUUUGUUCUUCCUCCUUGGCUGGGAACAUUCUAUCUAGCCUGUCUCCCUGGUUGCCUGUGAGGUGUGAGGCAGACUGUCGAAGGAAAACAACGGUGGAGAGAAUAAUUAAUGAUGCUUUGAUGCCUGCCAGCUCUGAAGUAGUGUCAACCUGUGGACUUUCAAGUGUCCCUUAGUUACCCAACAGCAUCAGCUGCCUGCAUGCCCUCCCGCUCGCCUGCCCGCCUGGCUUCCAUAUUCUCUAGAGAUGACCGCACAUGAUGUAAAUGUCUGCCAACUUCUGCUGCGUUCAAUCCAUUCAGCUUGAAUCAGAUGGUGGACAUGAGCUGGAUUCUGUGACAAUUGGGAAACUCCUGAGUACAAGGCAUUUUAAGAGCAUAUGGAUGCAUAAUUUGUCACAGCCUGGAGAAAGGGAAGGUGACUGUUAAAAGAAGUAUUUGCUGAGCCUGCUGCAACACCACCAAAAACACCAUGGACAAUUACCAUCCACAUUGUUUACUGAUCACACAACACCUGCAGUGAAGAAUAAAAUACUCUUCACAUCCUCAUAAAUGUUCUGAAGGAUAAAGUUGUUUAUCAUUUU